GCUAAGCCUUAAUCAUCAUUUUAAUUGUAUAUCAAAAUAAAAAGGUUUUAAAGUGGGAGAAAAUCUAUGGCUUUCAAACGCAUUAAAAAACUUAUAGUAGUGAUGAUGGAGUUGCUUAUCCUCGUUCUCCUAAAAGUGCAAGCUAACGACCUUGCUCAUAUCUCUUUCCCUCCGUCUUCACCACCCAUUCAGCUUCAUCAUUUCUCUGAACUUGGCAAGGUUCAAAUUAAUAAUCUUGCCCCGACCUCUGUUCGUCCCUCUCCACUACCCAUCAUGGAUCCUCAUUCAUUCCAACUUGAUGAAGUUCAAGGAACUAUGCAUACAUGUGUUGCAAAUGUAAUUCAAGAUUGUGAAAUAAAAUGGCAACAUGCAUAUCACUAUGGUUUUUGUCUUCUUGAUGGCUUUCAACAAUGCAUGCAUCAACAUGGCACAAGCAUGGUUGAGGAAUCUUUAAGGUGGUUAGAAUAUUGCCUAAGACAUGCGAGGAGGAACCUUAAAUCCUGCUACUCAUAUCGAACUAGAGAUUCAUCCAAGAAGCACUCAUCUAUCGUCUAUUCCCAUAUUCCCUAGCGUAAGGUUUGAUUGAUACGGAGGCUUCUCAGGGAAUGUGUGAGAGCAAGACUUGCUAUAGCAAUCCUCAAUUGAUCAUCGUUUCAAAUAAUACUGAUUUGAGUUGUGGAAUAUUGUGAAUUGGGGAAGUUUUCCCACCUGAUUUGAUAUUGUUGUGUAUUCUAGUUUUUAAGUUAGGCCAUUUUGGACCUAAAAUUAUGUAUCGUGGGAGAUGGAUUUUGUUUGGAAUUUGUUA